rnacentral:rRNA from 1 species
UGGGGAAUCUUGCGCAAUGGGCGAAAGCCUGACGCAGCGACGCCGCGUGAGUGAUGAAGGCCCUCGGGUUGUAAAGCUCUGUGGAGGGGGACGAAUAAGCAUUGGUCAAUAUCCAGUGUGAUGACGGUACCCUUUUAGCAAGCACCGGCUAACUCUGUGCCAGCAGCCGCGGUAAGACAGAGGGUGCAAACGUUGUUCGGAAUUACUGGGCGUAAAGCGCGUGUAGGCUGCUGGGCAAGUCGGAUGUGAAAGCCCUGGGCUCAACCCAGGAAGUGCAUUCGAAACUGCAGAGCUGGAGUCCUGGAGAGGAAGGCGGAAUUCUCGGUGUAGAGGUGAAAUUCGUAGAUAUCGAGAGGAACACCGGUGGCGAAGGCGGCCUUCUGGACAGUGACUGACGCUGAGACGCGAAAGCGUGGGGAGCAAACA